CUUACCUGGCUGCGGAGGCAGAAGCAGAAGCGCAGGGGCAGGAGGCAGGAGAAGAAAUACUUGCCCCAUCCGAUCACGCAGGAGAAGCACCAGCUCAGUCGAGUCAUGUUGACGAGGGACACAGAAGUACAUCCUUGGGAGUUUGGUGCCUCAUGGGAAAAUCACAAGCCCCCUGAGCACCAGGGACAGAGAUACAAGGCUCCAUGGAAUGGACCAGAUUCGGAUACUCAGACACAGGGGACCAUGUAUUAGAUGUCAAAACGUGGAAGAAGAAGCCAGGAACAAAGCCAGCAGAGACCAGGGUCCGAAUCCUGGCCCUGACCCUUUCCAACUGAGUGACCUUGAAGAAAUUAUUUUCCCUGUUCCCUGAAGACAUUAUUUCUGAGCCUGUUUCCUCUUCUGUGAAAUAGAGACAAGGAUCCUAACCUUGUGGGGUAGUUGCGCAGAUUAAAUUAAAUGUGAAAACGCCUGGCACCAGACCUGACUCAUCAAGGCACCCUCAGGAGCUGCUGGGCAAAUACCUCCGAACC